rnacentral:rRNA from 1 species
CCUACGGGAGGCAGCAGUGGGGAAUAUUGGGCAAUGCGCGCAAGCCUGACCCAGCAACGCCGCGUGAAGGAAGAAGGCUUUCGGGUUGUAAACUUCUUUUCUCAGGGACGAAGCAAGUGACGGUACCUGAGGAAUAAGCCACGGCUAACUACGUGCCAGCCGCCGCGGUAAUACGUAGGUGGCACGCGUUAUACGGAUUUACUGGGAGUAAAGGGCGUGUAGGCGGGGGCGCAAGUCAGAUGUGAAAACCACGGGCUCAACCUGUGGCCUGCUAUUGAAACUGUGUUUCUUGAGUACUGGAGAGGCAGACGGAAUUCCUAGUGUAGCGGUGAAAUGCGUAGAUAUUAGGAGGAACACCAGUGGCGAAGGCGGUCUGCUGGACAGCAACUGACGCUGAGGCGCGAAAGCGUGGGGAGCAAACAGGAUUAGAUACCCGUGUAGUC